AUCCUUGUAGUGCAGUGGAUAGCGCGUUGGACUUCUAAUUUAAGGGGCAUGGGUUCGAAUCCCACCUGGGAUG